ACGCUCGACACCUACGGAAGGCAGCAGUAGGGAAUCUUCCACAAUGGGCGCAAGCCUGAUGGAGCAACACCGCGUGAGUGAAGAAGGGUUUCGGCUCGUAAAGCUCUGUUGUUGGAGAAGAACGUGCGUGAGAGUAACUGUUCACGCAGUGACGGUAUCCAACCAGAAAGUCACGGCUAACUACGUGUCAGCAGCCGCGGUAAUCUGAGCGGGCUGGCAAGGC
rnacentral:rRNA from 1 species